GACGAACGCUGGCGGCGUGCUUAACACAUGCAAGUCGAACGGAAAGGCCCUGCUUUUGUGGGGUGCUCGAGUGGCGAACGGGUGAGUAACACGUGAGUAACCUGCCCUUGACUUUGGGAUAACUUCAGGAAACUGGGGCUAAUACCGGAUAGGAGCUCCUGCUGCAUGGUGGGGGUUGGAAAGUUUCGGCGGUUGGGGAUGGACUCGCGGCUUAUCAGCUUGUUGGUGGGGUAGUGGCUUACCAAGGCUUUGACGGGUAGCCGGCCUGAGAGGGUGACCGGCCACAUUGGGACUGAGAUACGGCCCAGACUCCUACGGGAGGCAGCAGUGGGGAGUAUUGCACAGUGGGCGGAAGCCUGAUGCAGCAACGCCGCGUGCGGGAUGACGGCCUUCGGGUUGUAAACCGCUUUCGCCUGUGACGAAGCGUGAGUGACGGUAAUGGGUAAAGAAGCACCGGCUAACUACGUG
rnacentral:rRNA from 1 species